rnacentral:rRNA from 1 species
GAUGAACGCUGGCGGCGUGCCUAAUACAUGCAAGUCGAGCGAACGGACGAGAAGCUUGCUUUUCUGUUGUUAGCGGCGGACGGGUGAGUAACACGUGGAUAACCUACCUAUAAGACUGGGAUAACUUCGGGAAACCGGAGCUAAUACCGGAUAAUAUUUUGAACCGCAUGGUUCAAAAGUGAAAGACGGUCUUGCUGUCACUUAUAGAUGGAUCCGCGCUGCAUUAGCUAGUUGGUAAGGUAACGGCUUACCAAGGCAACGAUGCAUAGCCGACCUGAGAGGGUGAUCGGCCACACUGGAACUGAGACACGGUCCAGACUCCUACGGGAGGCAGCAGUAGGGAAUCUUCCGCAAUGGGCGAAAGCCUGACGGAGCAACGCCGCGUGAGUGAUGAAGGUCUUCGGAUCGUAAAACUCUGUUAUUAGGGAAGAACAUAUGUGUAAGUAACUGUGCACAUCUUGACGGUACCUAAUCAGAAAGCCACGGCUAACUACGUG